UCACAUGAAUAUAUUAAAAAUUAAUUUUUAAUUUGUAUGCAAAUAAAAAUAGUUUUAUUAAAACCACAUAUCAUUAUGUUAAAUAAUAAUUAAGCCGGUGAUACCGCUUUUGAAACAGACACACAAUAAGCCCAUACUUCAUCUCUUUUCUGUAAAUAUUUGGAUUCGUUUCCGAUUAAACUAGGUCUAUCCGCGAUAUAUUUGAUAAGUGUGUCAUGACACUCUUUGCCUUCUUGAACAAGCUCCUUGCAACAAGGAAUGAAUACAACUCCAUCUCCAAAAACUUGAGAAAUGAUCUUGAGCGCACAAUUUGGACUGAUUUUAACAACACAUUGAUCCCAUAACUUUUUUGGCUCAUUUUCUUCUACAGCUAAUGAAGGUACACAUGUAAUCGCCACAACUAGAACGACCAAAGACAACAUAAUAAAGUUAAGCUUCGCCAUGGUUGUUAUGUGUUUGAGGAUUUACAGUUUAACUUUUCUCAAGUUAGAGAAAGAAAUAAGUUUUUAAAUUGCUGAUGUUUUUUGAAUAAACGAGGUUUGCCUUAUUUAUAGAUACGAAUAAUCAAUAUUUAACAUUUAUUUUCGACUAAUGAAUUUUGCUUUUGACGUUUUUUUGUUCAUUAACAUGUGUUAAGUUACGUUUUUUGCUUAAGUUAUUAACUGCUUAGGUUUAUAGUUUAUAAAUAAUUAAAUUAGGAUUCUUGUAGUAUACAAAUGAACAUACUAAGAACUUAUAUAAGUAUUUAAAUUAAAAACUACAGAACAUUUUUUAAUGAAUAUUUUUUAUGUCAGCAACAUAUAAUUUGGUGGUUGUAUAUCAACUUACUAACAAAAACCAAAAGUACACUCUAACAUUUGAUCAAUCUAAAAAUGAUUUAAAGUAUAUAUCAAUAUAUUUCUCUCUGAGAUUAAAGGAGAGAGUUUCAGAUUUUAUACAUUCUUUAUUUCAUGAUGUAGGAUGCUUAAGAAUAUAAUUUUAUCCUUUUAAUUGUAUACAGUUUUAUAUCGAGAUGGUUAUUAGGUAAAACAUGACUCCACUUGGGAAAAUAAUCUACAAAUUUAAAUUCCCUCUACAAGAAACAAAAUAUGAAAUCUAUAAAGAAUGAAAUUUGAUAAAAAAGAAAUAAAAAAUGUGUGUUCAAAAAAAAAAAAAAAUGAAAACAAAUUUUUGAAUUUAAGCUUGCGAUAUCAGGUUUUAUCAAUUUAUAACUUACAUAAUAGUUUAAUUACUAUAUAUUUUUCAAGGAAAUUGAUGUCGUUCAUAUUAAAAAUAUAAAUAGUAUAUAUAUACUUACAUAAAAUUAAUGAAAUGUUUGUAUUUAGUAAAUUUUUCUUAAUCAUUCUAAAGAUUUUAUUUUCUAUCAAUUUCAUCAAAAUAUAUGUAAUAACUCCAAAAUUUAAAUCUGAAAACAUAUGUGAUGGUUCAAAGAAAAUGGUAUAUAGAUUGUGCGACCACGUAGAAUAUAAUAAGUAUGUUGCGGUCUUGUGGAUUCGGGAAAUGCUAGAUUUUAAGAUUACAAAUCAGUGUUUAUUUUGAUAUUUCGUCUUUUGAAUUCAUAAAAAAGUGAGUAUUUAAAGAUUUUUAAGUAUUAAUUUUGUUAUCUGGGACUAGAACUUUUUAUUUUGCAUCUAAAACUCAGAAAAGGGAAUAAAGUAAUGCAAAAGAAAAUAAGUAACACAAAACAAUAAAUAUAAAUCUCACAUGAAUAUAUCAAAAAUUAAUUUUUAAUUUGUAUGGAAAUACAAAUAGUUUUAUUGAAAUCACAUAUCAUUAUGUUAAAUAAUAAUUAAGCCGGUGAUACCGCUUUUGAAACAGACACACAAUAAGCCCAUACUUCAUCUCUUUUCGUUAAAUAUUUGGAUUCGUUUCCGAUUAAACUAGGUCUAUCCGCGAUAUAUUUAACAAGUGUGUCAUGACACUCUUUGCCUUCUUGAACAAGCUCCUUGCAACAAGGAAUGGAUACAACUCCAUCUCCAAAAACUUGAGAAAUGAUCUUGAGCGCACAGUUUGGACUGAUUUUAACAACACAUUGAUCCCAUAACUUUUUUGGCUCAUUUUCUUCUACAGCUAAUGAAGGCACACAUGUAAUCGCCACAACUAGAACAACAAAAGACAACAUAAUAAAAUUAAGCUUCACCAUGGUUGUUAUGUGUUUGAGGAUUUACAGUUUAACUUUUCUCAAGUUAGAGAAAGAAAUAAGUUUUUAAAUUUCUGAUGUUAUUUGAAUAAACGAGGUUUGCCCUAUUUAUAGAUACGAAUAAUCAAUAUUUAACAUUUAUUUUCAACUAAUGAAUUUUGCUUUUGACGUUUUUUUGUUCAUUAACAUGUGUUAAGUUACGUUUUAUGCUGAAGUUAUUAACUGCUUAGGUUUAUAGUUUAUAAAUAAUUAAAUUAGGAUUCUUGUAGUAUAAAAAUGAACAUACUAAGAAGUUAUAUAAAUAUUUAAAUUAAAAACUACUGAACAUUUUUUAAUGAAUAUUUUUUAUGUCAGCAACAUAUAAUUUGGUGGUUGUAUAUCAACUUACUAACAAAAACCAAAAGUACACUCUAACAUUUUAUCAAUCUAAAAAUGAUUUAAAGUAUAUAUCAAUAUAUUUCUCUCUGAGAUUAAAGGAGAGAGUUCCAGAUUUUAUAUAUUCUUUAUUUCAGGAUGUAGGAUGCUUAAGAAUAUAAUUUUAUCCUUUUAAUUGUAUAAAGUUUUAUAUCGAGAUGGUUAUUAGGUAAAACAUGACUCCACUUGGGAAAGUAAUCUACAAAUUUAAAUUCCCUCUACAAGAAACAAAACAUGAAAUCUAUAAAGAAUGAAAUUUAAUAAAAAAGAAAUAAAAAAUGAAACCAAAUUUUCGAAUUUAAACUUGCGGUAUCAUAAUUUAUCAAUUUCUAACUUACAUAAUAGUUUAAUUACUAUAUAUCUUUCAAGGAAAUUAAUGUGUUUCAUAUUAAAAAUAUAAACAGUAUAUAUAUAUACUUACAUAAAAUUAACGAAAUGUUAUUUUUAUUCUUGAAUGAAUUUUUUUAAUUGAGUUGAGUCCUUUUAAAAAUGUUUCAUGCCACAGUUUUGAGGUGCAACUCCGUUUGUAUUUGGUUAAUUUUUUUUAAUCAUUCUAAAGAUUUUAUUUUCUAUCAAUUUCUUCAAAAUAUAUGUAAUAACUCCAAAAUUUAAAUCUGAAAACAUAUGUGAUGGUUCAAAGAAAAUGGUAUAUAGAUUGUGCGACCACGUGGAAUAUAAUAAGUAUGUUGCGGUCUUGUGAAUUCGGGAAAUGCUAGAUUUUUAAGAGUUCAUAUCAGUGUUCAUUUUGAUAUUUAGCCUUUUUAAUUCUUAAAAACUGUGAGCAUUUAAAUAUUUUCAAGUAUUAUUUUUUUUUAUCUGGGACUAGACCUUUUUAUUUGGCAUCUAAAACCGAGAAAAUGGAAUAAAGUAAUGCAAAAGAAAAUAAGUAACACAAAACGAUAAAUAUAAAUCUCACAUGAAUAUAUUAAAAAUUAAUUUUUAAUUUGUAUGCAAAUAAAAAUAGUUUUAUUAAAACCACAUAUCAUUAUGUUAAAUAAUAAUUAAGCCGGUGAUACCGCUUUUGAAACAGACACACAAUAAGCCCAUACUUCAUCUCUUUUCUGUAAAUAUUUGGAUUCGUUUCCGAUUAAACUAGGUCUAUCCGCGAUAUAUUUGAUAAGUGUGUCAUGACACUCUUUGCCUUCUUGAACAAGCUCCUUGCAACAAGGAAUGGAUACAACUCCAUCUCCAAAAACUUGAGAAAUGAUCUUGAGCGCACAAUUUGGACUGAUUUUAACAACACAUUGAUCCCAUAACUUUUUUGGCUCAUUUUCUUCUACAGCUAAUGAAGGCACACAUGUAAUCGCCACAACUAGAACAACAAAAGACAACAUAAUAAAAUUAAGCUUCACCAUGGUUGUUAUGUGUUUGAGGAUUUACAGUUUAACUUUUCUCAAGUUAGAGAAAGAAAUAAGUUUUUAAAUUUCUGAUGUUAUUUGAAUAAACGAGGUUUGCCCUAUUUAUAGAUACGAAUAAUCAAUAUUUAACAUUUAUUUUCAACUAAUGAAUUUUGCUUUUGACGUUUUUUUGUUCAUUAACAUGUGUUAAGUUACGUUUUAUGCUGAAGUUAUUAACUGCUUAGGUUUAUAGUUUAUAAAUAAUUAAAUUAGGAUUCUUGUAGUAUACAAAUGAACAUACUAAGAACUUAUAUAAGUAUUUAAAUUAAAAACUACAGAACCUUUUUUAAUGAAUAUUUUUUAUGUCAGCAACAUAUAAUUUGGUGGUUGUAUAUCAACUUACUAACAAAAACCAAAAGUACACUCUAACAUUUGAUCAAUCUAAAAAUUAUUUAAAGUAUAUAUCAAUAUAUUUCUCUCUGAGAUUAAAGGAGAGAGUUUCAGAUUUUAUACAUUCUUUAUUUCAUGAUGUAGGAUGCUUAAGAAUAUAAUUUUAUCCUUUUAAUUGUAUAAAGUUUUAUAUCGAGAUGGUUAUUAGGUAAAACAUGACUCCACUUGGGAAAAUAAUCUACAAAUUUAGAUUCCCUCUACAAGAAACAAAAUAUGAAAUCUAUAAAGAAUAAAAUUUGAUAAAAAUAAAAAUAAAAAAUGAAAACAAAUUUUCGUAUUUAAGCUUGCGAUAUCAGGUUUUAUCAUUAUAACUUACAUAAUAGUUUAAUUACUAUAUAUUUUUCAAGGAUAUUGAUGUCGUUCAUAUUUAAAAUAUAAAUAGUAUAUAUAUACUUACAUAAAAUUAACGAAAUUUUAUUUUUAUUCUUGAAAUAAUUUUUAUAAUCGAGUUGAGUCAUUUUAAAAAUGUUUCUUGGCACAGUUUUGAGGUGCGACUCCGUUUGUAUUUGGUUAAUUUUUCUUAAUCAUUCUAAAGAUUUUAUUUUCUAUCAAUUUCAUCAAAAUAUAUGUAAUAACUCCAAAAUUUAAAUCUGAAAAUAUAUGUGAUGGUUCAAAGAAAUGGUAUAUAGAUUGUGCGACCACGUGGAAUAUAAUAAGUAUUUUGCAAUAUUGUGAAUUCGGGAAAUGCUAGAUUUUUAAGAGUUCAAAUCAGUGUUCAUUUUGAUAUUUAGCCUUUUUAAUUCUUAAAAACUGUGAGCAUUUAAAUAUUUUCAAGUAUUAUUUUUUUUAUCUGGGACUAGACCUUUUUAUUUGGCAUCUAAAACCGAGAAAAUGGAAUAAAGUAAUGCAAAAGAAAAUAAGUAACACAAAACCAUAAAUAUAAAUCUCACAUGAAUAUAUUAAAAAUUAAUUUUUAAUUUGUAUGCAAAUAAAAAUAGUUUUAUUAAAACCACAUAUCAUUAUGUUAAAUAAUAAUUAAGCCGGUGAUACCGCUUUUGAAACAGACACACAAUAAGCCCAUACUUCAUCUCUUUUCUGUAAAUAUUUGGAUUCGUUUCCGAUUAAACUAGGUCUAUCCGCGAUAUAUUUGAUAAGUGUGUCAUGACACUCUUUGCCUUCUUGAACAAGCUCCUUGCAACAAGGAAUGGAUACAACUCCAUCUCCAAAAACUUGAGAAAUGAUCUUGAGCGCACAGUUUGGACUGAUUUUAACAACACAUUGAUCCCAUAACUUUUUUGGCUCAUUUUCUUCUACAGCUAAUGAAGGUACACAUGUAAUCGCCACAACUAGAACUACCAAAGACAACAUAAUAAAGUUAAGCUUCGCCAUGGUUGUUAUGUGUUUGAGGAUUUACAGUUUAACUUUUCUCAAGUUAGAGAAAUAAAUAAGUUUUUAAAUUUCUGAUGUUAUUUGAAUAAACGAGGUUUGCCUUAUUUAUAGAUACGAAUAAUCAAUAUUUAACAUUUAUUUUCGACUAAUGAAUUUUGCUUUUGACGUUUUUUUGUUCAUUAACAUGUGUUAAGUUACGUUUUUUGCUGAAGUUAUUAACUGCUUAGGUUUAUAGUUUAUAAAUAAUUAAAUUAGGAUUCUUGUAGUAUACAAAUGAACAUUCUAAGAACUUAUAUAAGUAUUUAAAUUAAAAACUACAGAACAUUUUUUAAUGAAUAUUUUUUAUGUCAGCAACAUAUAAUUUGGUGGUUGUAUAUCAACUUACUAACAAAAACCAAAAGUACACUCUAACAUUUUAUCAAUCUAAAAAUGCUUUAAAGUAUAUAUCAAUAUAUUUCUCUCUGAGAUUAAAGGAGAGAGUUUCAGAUUUUAUAUAUUCUUUAUUUCAUGAUGUAGGAUGCUUAAGAAUAUAAUUUUAUCCUUUUAAUUGUAUAAAGUUUUAUAUCGAGAUGGUUAUUAGGUAAAGCAUGACUCCACUUGGGAAAAUAAUCUACAAAUUUAAAUUCCCUCUACAAGAAACAAAAUAUGAAAUCUAUAAAGAAUGAAAUUUGAUAAAAAAGAAAUAAAAAAUGUGUGUUCAAAAAAAAAAAAAAAUGAAAACAAAUUUUUGAAUUUAAGCUUGCGAUAUCAGGUUUUAUCAAUUUAUAACUUACAUAAUAGUUUAAUUACUAUAUAUUUUUCAAGGAAAUUGAUGUCGUUCAUAUUAAAAAUAUAAAUAGUAUAUAUAUACUUACAUAAAAUUAAUGAAAUGUUUGUAUUUAGUAAAUUUUUCUUAAUCAUUCUAAAGAUUUUAUUUUCUAUCAAUUUCAUCAAAAUAUAUGUAAUAACUCCAAAAUUUAAAUCUGAAAACAUAUGUGAUGGUUCAAAGAAAAUGGUAUAUAGAUUGUGCGACCACGUAGAAUAUAAUAAGUAUGUUGCGGUCUUGUGGAUUCGGGAAAUGCUAGAUUUUAAGAUUACAAAUCAGUGUUUAUUUUGAUAUUUCGUCUUUUGAAUUCAUAAAAAAGUGAGUAUUUAAAGAUUUUUAAGUAUUAAUUUUUUUUAUCUGGGACUAGAACUUUUUAUUUUGCAUCUAAAACUCAGAAAAGGGAAUAAAGUAAUGCAAAAGAAAAUAAGUAACCCAAAACAAUAAAUAUAAAUCUCGCAUGAAUAUAUCAAAAAUUAAUUUUUAAUUUGUAUGCAAAUACAAAUAGUUUUAUUGAAAUCACUAUCAUUAUGUUAUAUAAUAAUUAAGCCGGUGAUACCGCUUUUGAAACAGACACACAAUAAGCCCAUACUUCAUCUCUUUUCGUUAAAUAUUUGGAUUCGUUUCCGAUUAAACUAGGUCUAUCCGCGAUAUAUUUAACAAGUGUGUCAUGACACUCUUUGCCUUCUUGAACAAGCUCCUUGCAACAAGGAAUGGAUACAACUCCAUCUCCAAAAACUUGAGAAAUGAUCUUGAGCGCACAGUUUGGACUGAUUUUAACAACACAUUGAUCCCAUAACGUUUUUGGCUCAUUUUCUUCUACAGCUAAUGAAGGCACACAUGUAAUCGCCACAACUAGAACAACAAAAGACAACAUAAUAAAAUUAAGCUUCACCAUGGUUGUUAUGUGUUUGAGGAUUUACAGUUUAACUUUUCUCAAGUUAGAGAA
rnacentral:lncRNA from 1 species